UGCUCGGUAGCUUAGUUGGUAAGGCGCUCGUCUAGUCUUGGGUUCAAAUCCCAGCCGAGCUC
rnacentral:tRNA from 1 species